GAAUGGUGUGAGGUGCUAUGGAAGUAAAGGUCUGUCGAGUGGGGUACAGCAUCGCAUGGUGGCCCUGGACUCACUGCAAGUCAGCAGGGCUGGAAAUCGGGAAAUAAAGACAGGGAAGCUCCUGGGGGUAAUCUUGAGACAGAUGAACCAAGUCUGGAGACCCACCUGCAAAGUUCCAGAGAUGACUUCAAGGUGGCGAGUCAACAGCCUCACCAUUGUUGAGAUGACACCAGCCCGUGAUCCAGCUUCCACACAACAGCCCUGAUGUUUACCAGCAGGCGUCUCUUGUUUAGUCUCAUUGUCUUUGGCAAGUUCAAUCUCAACCAGAUUGUUGUUCUUCUCAAGAGGACUGAUCCCAGCAGGCUCCAGCCCUAAAGCGGACUGUUCGGGAGAUCUGUGUUAACUUUGUGUUUCAGUCCUCAGUCUCACGGUACUGGGUCCUACCGUGAGCGGAAAAUCCCUCUCUACAUCAGAACAGCCUUCUGGCCAUGCUACAGUCCUCGCUCAGAAACACGGCACACCAUAUAUAAAUAUGAUGGAUAAGCAGUGAGUGUGUAAAGACCUUGUGACUACUGAAUGUUUUGUAAAAGGUACGUAUCCAAAAUAAUUAAAAUCAGGACCUCAAAGAACUAUCUGCACUUCCAUGUUCAUUGCAGCAUUAUUCAUAAUAGCCCAAAUGUGGAAACCAUCUAAAUGCUCAUUGACAGAUGAAUGGAUAAAGAAAAUGUGGCACAUAUAUACCAUCAAAUAUUAUUUAGCCUUAAUACAGCAGAAAAUCCUGCCAUAUGCAAAAACAUGACUGAACCUACAGGAUGUUAUGGUGAUAUGAUAUCCACUGUCCACGUCAUCCAAAACCUAAGUUUGUUUGGCUUCAGAGUUGCAGGACAUUCCAAUUAUUCCACCUUUCUCAGCUUCCUACCCUUCGUGAUCCACUCCAGCCAACAUGUAAGGAGAAUCUGGGGGAGUAAAGGAGGGCAAAUUGGAAAAUGUCGCUUCUGUUACCCAGUCUCUGCCCAUUUUGGCCUUAAUAAAAUUUUGAUCAAAAUUUAAAAAUUAGGAAUAUGUGUGUUUCACCAUUUAUCUGUGAAGGAAAGAAUCCUGCCUUAUGCCUAAAAAUAUUUUAAUAAUGUGGUAACAUUACCACUAAUAAUAGAACCUGCCUACGCACCAACACAAUUCCAAUCUAAGAGUUAGUCAUAUCCUCCCAUCAAGACACUGUGUGCAGAUUUUCUUCAGUCAUAUUCAGAUGGGAUUUCAGGUUCCAGUCUGAAGACAAAGAGAUUAUAGAUCAGAAGAGACAUCUAAUUUCAACUAAAUCAUGCUUGCAAACAAAGCAACACACACACACACACACACACACACACACACACACACACACACACACGAAACCCUGCCUGUUUUCAUUUUUAUUAUCCCAUCUGGCACUACCCAGAUAAGAAAAUAACUAAAAUAAAUAUUUUCCAUUAACCAUUUGCAUAAAUCAUGAUUUACUCUCACAGGUAUCUCAACAGUACCCACACCGGUGAUAGGACUGAUAAUGUUGAUUGACUGUUUACUAUCUGCCAUGCACUUCUAGAAGAGCUUGACUUGGGUUUUCUCAUUUGUUUCUCAAAACAUUCUUAUGAGACAGACACCAUUAUUAUCCCCACAUUACAG
rnacentral:lncRNA from 1 species